rnacentral:rRNA from 1 species
CCUACGGGAGGCAGCAGUGAGGAAUAUUGGUCAAUGGGCGGAAGCCUGAACCAGCCAAGUCGCGUGCAGGAUGACGGCCCUACGGGUUGUAAACUGCUUUUAUACGGGAAUAACGCGCCUUACGUGUAGGGCUUUGCAUGUACCGUAUGAAUAAGGACCGGCUAAUUCCGUGCCAGCAGCCGCGGUAAUACGGAAGGUCCGGGCGGUAUCCGGAUUUUUUGGGGUUAAAGGGAGCGUAGGCCGCAUGUCAAGCGUGCUGUGAAAUGUCCGGGCUCAACCCGGGCCUUGCAGCGGAAACUGGCGUGCUUGAGUCCGCGGAAAGCAGGCGGAAUGCGUCGUGUAGCGGUGAAAUGCUUAGAUAUGACGAAGAACCCCGAUUGCGAAGGCAGCUUGCUGCAGCGGAACUGACGCUGAUGCUCGAAAGCGCGGGUAUCGAACAGGAUUAGAUACCCGUGUAGUC